GGGGAUGCUUGGUUUUGACAGGAGGUUCAUUGAUUAUAUUUGCUAUUCGAGUAAUUACGGAUAUCUCGUAAAAAAUACCGUAAAUUAAUAAAUGGCAAUUUUAAUUCAAUUGUACUUGCUGCAUAGUUAAUUCUAUGCUUUUCGGGGUACAAGGUGCUUCGACAAGUCGCCUAUCGAGAAUUUCAUGUUUUGUUUUCGGACUAUAGGCGCCAUAUAGAGACAUGUAUUUCUGGUGAUUUCUCUAAGCCGGAAUGAUAUUAAGAGAAUAGGGAUAUGAAACAAUUGCUAUUUGUUGUUCAUAUCUCGAAAACAGAUAAAUAGAUAUAAUAGUAGAUGGUAUAAUUGAUACCUUUUUGGACGGGGGUUCGAAUCCCCCCAUCUCCACUG
rnacentral:tmRNA from 1 species